rnacentral:rRNA from 1 species
GACGAACGCUGGCGGCGUGCUUAACACAUGCAAGUCGAACGGAACGGCCCUGCUUUUGUGGGGUGCUCGAGUGGCGAACGGGUGAGUAACACGUGAGUAACCUGCCCUUGACUUUGGGAUAACUUCAGGAAACUGGGGCUAAUACCGGAUAGGAGCUCCUGCUGCAUGGUGGGGGUUGGAAAGUUUAGUCGGUUGGGGAUGGACUCGCGUUUGAUUAGCGUGUUGGUAGGGUAGUAGCAUACCAAGGCGUCGCCGCAUGGCUGGUCUGAGAGGAUGAUCAGCCACGAUGGGACUGAGACACGGCCCAGACUCCUACGGGAGGCAGCAGUGGGGAAUAUUGGACAAGGGGCGAAAGCCUGAUACAGCAAUGCCGGGUGAGUGAUGAAGGCCUUAGGGUUGUAAAGCUCUUUUACACGGGAUGAUAAUGACAGUACCGGGAGAAUAAGCACCGGCUAACUACGUG